rnacentral:rRNA from 1 species
UACGUAGGGUCCGAGCGUUGUCCGGAAUUAUUGGGCGUAAAGGGCUCGUAGGCGGUCUGUUGCGUCGGGAGUGAAAACUUACAGCUUAACUGUGAGCGUGCUUCCGAUACGGGCAGGCUAGAGUUCGGUAGGGGAGAUCGGAAUUCCUGGUGUAGCGGUGAAAUGCGCAGAUAUCAGGAAGAACACCGGUGGCGAAGGCGGCUCGUCUGGGCCUUACCUGACGCUGAGGAGCGAAAGCGUGGGUAGCGAACAGG